AACGUAGGUGGCAAGCGUUAUCCGGAUUUACUGGGCGUAAAGCAUGUGCAGACGGGUUGGUAAGUGGUGUAUGAAAGCGUCCGGCUUAACCGGGCAAGCGUAGGCCAGACUGCCAGUCUUGAGAGUGGGAGAGGGAUGUGGAAUUCCGGGUGUAGUGGUGAAAUGCGUAGAGAUCGGAAAGAACACCAACGGCGAAAGCACUCUGCUGGGCCGACACUGACACUGAGAGACGAAAGCUAGGGGAGCGAAUGGG
rnacentral:rRNA from 1 species